AUUGAACGCUGGCGGCAGGCCUAACACAUGCAAGUCGAACGAGUGGCGGACGGGUGAGUAAUGUCUGGGAAACUGCCCGAUGGAGGGGGAUAACUACUGGAAACGGUAGCUAAUACCGCAUACCAUCGGAGGUGCCCAGAUGGGAUUAGCUGGUAGGUGAGGUAACGGCUCACCUAGGCGACGAUCCCUAGCUGGUCUGAGAGGAUGACCAGCGCACCUGGAACUGAGCAACGGUCCAGACUCCUCGGGGAGGCAGCAGUGGGGAAUAUGACACAAGGGGUGCAAGCGUGAGGUAGCCAUGCCGCGUGUAUGAAGAAGGCUUUUGGGUUGUAAAGUACUUUCAGCGGGGAGGCGUUACCCGCAGAAGAAGCACCGGCUAACUCCGUGCCAGCAGCCGCGUAAUUC
rnacentral:rRNA from 1 species